CAGUCGCCGCGGUAAUACGAAGGGGGCUAGCGUUGCUCGGAAUGACUGGGCGUAAAGGGCGCGUAGGCGGAUUGUUUAGUUAGGCGUGAAAUUCCUGGGCUUAACCUGGGGACUGCGCUUAAUACAGGCAGUCUAGAGUGAGGAAGAGGGUUGUGGAAUUCCCAGUGUAGAGGUGAAAUUCGUAGAUAUUGGGAAGAACACCGGUGGCGAAGGCGGCAACCUGGUCCUUGACUGACGCUGAGGCGCGAAAGCGUGGGGAGCAAACAGGAUUAGAUACCCCGGUAGUCCCUGUCUCUUAUAC
rnacentral:rRNA from 1 species